AUCCCCCUCCCCAAAGCUCCAUCCAGGGUCCCUCCCCGGGGCCAUCCCGGCCAGGCCCCUCCUCACGCCGCACAUUGCCAAAAAAUGAUCAGAUUUGUUGAAACUUGUCGCUCUCACCGCUUUUCUAUUUUGAGGCUCCAGUGCAAUUAAACCCCAAACCAGUGCCUGAUUAAAUGGGGGUGCAGCGACGGGAGGGCAGAGCCAGGAUCUCAACUCCAGCUCUCCAGGCCCCGCUCUGCAACCUGAAGACAUCUGCCACUUUCUCCUCCUUUUUGGCUCGUUAUCGGAAUUAACGUCCUUCCCGGAAAGAGCCACAGCGUGUCUGGUGUCCGACGGCAGAGGAGGGUAAGAGAUCCCCAGAGCUGGAUUUGUGUGUGUUUAUGGUCAGGCGUGGUUCAACUUUCUCCUCAAUAUCUGGCAUUCGUGCUGCUAAAGUAACAUGCGACAGAAAGAGGAUUUUUAAAUACGUGUGCACAGGGGCAACAGCCAGCGGAUCAACUCGGGGUGUGUUUGCUUUUGUAUUGGCCUAAUAAUGAAGCUAAAAAUAACAGAAAAAAAAAAAAAAAAAUCCCCUUUUUCUGCAGCUCUCGUGAGCCCAACCUCCUUGCUGGAAGCCCCACGGUUUUCCCCCGGGUGCAUGCCAUCCGUGGGCUCCCGCCGCAUGGCCCCGGGGAGGGUGCUGUGGGGUGGGUGACGUGUCCCUGCACCCCCCCCAACACGGGAUGGGGACGGGUGGCCUCGUCCCGCAUCCUUGGGUGGGUGGGAGGCUGUUUUCCUGCUCUCUCAGGGCCUGGGUGAGGUUUCUGCCUCGGGGAGUCUGGCUUUCCUAGCUACGGAAUUAAAAGAGGAGCCCCCCAGGAUAGAAGCCCCCUAAGCCCAGGGGGGCACAAGGAACAAACCCAGGAGGUUUUGCACCGGUGCAGCACUCGGGCAGACGCUGUCCUGGGAAAGGAAACAGCAGGUCAAGUUUUCCUCCUACGAGGAAUCAGGUUUCCCCACCUUCCACGCCAACUCAGGCUCUACAGGAAUGUUGGAGCCUCUAAAAUAAUACUUCCUCUUCUUUUUUUUUUUUUUUUAAACUCUAUUAAGUGGUAGCGUUCAAAAAAAUAAAAAUAUUUCCAACAUUUCCUGCAGCACAUCAGCUGCUCUUUCAUUUAAUGGCUUGGGAGGGGCUAGGAAUAAACCCACACCAGACCAGCGCAACAGGACCUUGCCCGUGGCCAGGACAAGGAAGCAGCUGCCAAAUGAGCCCUUUUGACUGUACACUAAUGAACGGGUUAAGAAAAUAAAAGCCAGGACCAAGGGUUUGACUUUAAACCUUUAUUUCAAAAAAAAGAAAAAAAAAAAAGACACAAACCCAAAAACCCAAAAAACAAAACACUAUCCAAUUUCAAACAAUUAUAUUAAUGCAGCUGCUUUUAACAGCCAACUGUUACAAGAUGUGUGGUUGCAGACCAACUGCUUAAGGGCGUCCUGGUUCUCAAACCUCCGCCUAUAAAUAAUUUUUUCAUCAAUAUCAUAUCAUAAAAUAACUUAUUAUAUAUCUUAGCAUAAAAACUUGAGAAUUAACAUCCCAAAAAUACAAUAAAACGGUUUGUAAAAUGCUUCGAUUAACCUUUUUUUUUUUUUUUUUUUUUUCCUGCUCUUUAAAAGGUAUUUAAACCAGAAACUGUUAAGUGGCACUUUGACAA